rnacentral:piRNA from 1 species
UGUUACAUGUGAACAGGAAGCGAGAGUAUC